GGGGCAUUCAUGCAGGACCACCAUAGCACCAAGUUCCUUUCUUGCUAUAUCUUGAUCAAAGGUGUAGUUCUCCACUAAAACUUUCCCUGAAUCUGUGGUAGUGAACCUCAAUGACACUUGUGACAAUGUCUUGUUUCCGAACAGAUGAAUCUUUCUAAGUGUAAAAAUCUUUAAGUGAUCAUGAAGGUGCUUAGUUCCACUCCUUGUUUCUUCUUCAAGCUUUCUGGAGCAAUACAUGCACUUCGUCUUUAUUUUGCCAUUCCAUCUCAUUGUCUUGAAUUCCUUCUAAACAACUCAGGUUGAUCAGCUUCCUCUUCGAACCCACCUCGACACCAUCUUCUUCUUCCUCUUCAACCUCC
rnacentral:lncRNA from 1 species